AAGAAACCAACAGGGAUUGCCUCAGUAACGGCGAGUGAAGCGGCAAAAGCUCAAAUUUGAAAUCUGGCUCUUUCAGGGUCCGAGUUGUAAUUUGUAGAAGAUGCUUUGGGUGUGGCUCUGGUUUAAGUUCUUUGGAAUAUUACAUCAUAGAGGGUGAGAAUCCCGUAUGUGACCAGUCGCCGCGCCCGUGUAAAGCUCUUUCAACGAGUCGAGUUGUUUGGGAAUGCAGCUCAAAAUGGGAGGUAUAUUUCUUCUAAAGCUAAAUAUUGGCCAGAGACCGAUAGCGCACAAGUAGAGUGAUCGAAAGAUGAAAAGCACUUUGGAAAGAGAGUUAAACAGUACGUGAAAUUGUUGAAAGGGAAGCGCUUGCAACCAGACUUGCACGCAGUUGAUCAUCCGGUGUUCUCACCGGGGCACUCUGCUGCGUUCAGGCCAGCAUCGGUUUUGGUGGUUGGAUAAAGGCCUUGGGAAUGUAGCUUCUUUCGGGGAGUGUUAUAGCCCUUGGUGCAAUGCAGCCUACCGGGACCGAGGACCGCGCUUCGGCUAGGA
rnacentral:rRNA from 1 species